AACCCUGAACUCUGGCUGAAAUCUGCCUGAACUUGCUUACUCUGGGUAUGUCGGUUCCAAAACACCGGAUAUGAGUUAGCGUAAUUACGCUCGACUUGUUAAUCCUGGGUUAAUGCGCGGGCACGGCAGGUAUAUAAAGACAUUCUCAAUGGAUGGCAGAUUUCACGAGUCACCACGGAAACGAGUGGAGAAAAAAAGAGAGCCCUUUACUUUAGCGAGACGGAGUUGGAGAUUUUGAUGGCGGCUUACGAGGAAUUUAAACCUAUCAUCACCAGGAAAAGUAAUACCACUGCAUCAGUGAGAGAGUGAAUGGCUGAUUGGCAAAAAAUCACUGAUAGAUCAAACAUGUGAGUAUAAUCUCAUUUCCAUUGUCAUAGCGAUGCAAACUGCUUAUGGGGAGAUGAGAAGCAGUUUGCAUAUAUAUCUAAGACAAAUCAAUAAUUUGUGGUUCCUCUGUUAUCAGCUGUAAUACCUCCAAAAACGAGGAGGACCUUGACGCAAGUCAAAAUGAAGCACAAGAACAUUCUCCAACAAGGUAAAAUAUAAAUAUCAAGAUACCAACGCACAGAAUUGUCAUGUAAUACAAUAUUCCAUGUAAUGUGGUUAUGUAGCCAAUAGAAAAAAGGCUGAGGCCCGUCAAACAGGCGGGGGUCCACCUCCACCUUCCCUCACCCCAGCCGUGGAGCUGGCACUGUCCCUCAAUAAAGGGAGACCAGUCGUGGAUGGGAUUCCAGGGGGCACCUCAUCAGACGUGGCCAAAACCAUAAGUGGCUUGGUUAAAUGUAGGUAUAUCACAUUAUAAGUCAUGAUGAAUUGAUGAUUUUACUGUGCAUCAGUGUUGAAUACAUCAAAUAUACACUCACCAUUUAACAAACACAUUUAGAAAGCAUUACUUUUAUGUGUUAUGCAUUUCAAUUGUAUAUUUUAUUCAAUAUUACAGCAUAUGAUGUCUAAUGUAAUCUAAUGUAUUCUCAUUUAUUAGGUGUUUGCUUGAGAAUAUACAUAGAGUAUCUGACUGGUUUUUAUUGUAUUGCAGAUGCCGAUGGUCAGUACAUAUUAAUGGAGUCUCCUGCAUCACCACAGUCUGUCGUAAUUGAUGAGGAUGAAGAGACCGCAUCUGCAGUGAAAGAUAUGGACAGACUUAGACCCAUCGAGUAUUGCUGGGGAUGUUGCAGCAGAUGCGGGUCAAUGCUGCUCCACCAUGAACCUUGGUAAGAACAUUUCUGCAGAUAAAUUAUCUCAUGUUAAUAUUUGGUUUUUAUUGCAAACAUCAAAUGCCAAUCAUGUGGAAUUACUUUGUCUUUUUAGUUGCCUGCCAAAGAGCUGUACAAGGUCUAUCUCCAGCGUAAAAUACAUAAAUGUGACCUUGAAAUAGAAUUGCUGGAGCAUCAGCUGAAGGUGAGACACAUGUGAAUAUUUAAUCUGUUAAUUGUUUAUGACGAUUAAGCAAUAAAGUCACUUUAUUUCAUUACAGCAAAUAAAGGAAUAAAAAAUAUCAGCCUUUGAGUCAUGUUUUUUUAAAUUGGAUGUUUUUAUUGGAUGUAAUGUAGGCUGAUCAUGUCCCGUACCACCCUGCCAUCUCUUUAGUCAGCAUGAUCCAAUGGGGAAUCCUCUGGGCCGUCUUCUUCAAGAGGUGGGGGGGGCCCUCUCACCUCUCAUUGUGGCGAUGUUGUGCAGUACGGCACAUGCAGCUAUGAUGUCACAUGCCCUCUCUGAGCCCACGUAGGCAUUGAAAUCGAGCUUUCAGGAUUUGUAUGGUCUUCUCCACCCUGGCCCGUGUUCUGCUGUGUGCCAGGUUAAAAUGUACCUGUGGUCCAGGCUGAGGUUCAGGGUAGGGGAUCAUAAAGAAUGGCAGGCAAGGAUACCCCCUGUCCCCCAGUAAGUAGCCAUUGAAAUGUCCUAUAAUAGCAGUUAUAUUGUAUUAUUUACAUCACAUUAAAUGCAUGACAUUGUAUAAGGAAUGUAAAGCAAUUUAUACCCUGGUGGAAUUUGGGACACAAUGAUGACUCUCUAAAUAUGCUGGCAUCAUGAACAAAACAGGGCCAUUUGGCUUCUAUGUUUGUGACGAGGUGGGUGGCAUCACAUAAUACCUAGAUAGUGGGGAACAGUAAUCAGUCUGAAUAAAGGAUGAUAGGACUUAUGAUACAACUGCCAUAUCUUGUUACCUGCACAUUGAUGCUAUGCAUGGACUUCCUAUUAACAUAAUCUCCUUCAUUGACUGAAGGAGAUUUAAUAGGAAGGUGAGUUCCAUCCAUGCACCCAAUCACAUUUGGGUGCAUGGAUGCAUGUGACUGAAAAAAGUAUUGAUAUAUUGAUAAAGCAGUGUGUUACUCUGUCAAAUAAAAUUAACGAACAAACCUGCUAUUCUGUGGAAUUCCUCUUUAAUGACCCUCAGUGGUUUAUGGCCAGGGAACUGCACAAAACAUCCCAGGAGGCGUUUGAGUGCCAGACAUGCUGUCCGAACUGCCCGACACACAGUUGCCUUUCCCACAUGUUCUGCAUUACCCAGGCUGUAGAAAAAACUCCCAGUCGCAAAAAAACGAAAGGCAAAACAUAAAAUGUUCUCGGUGCUCAGCGCUGCUCCCCGAUGUGUCACGUUCGAUACGAACGGUUUCAAAAGAUUUGUUAAAUAAAUUAAGGAGUCUCUAGAAAAACGAUAACACUCCAGUAAAUAAUCAUUUUAAAAAGAAAAAACAUCGAUAUAUAUUCUU